ACGAACGCUGGCGGCGUGCUUAACACAUGCAAGUCGAACGGAAAGGCCCUGCUUUUGUGGGGUGCUCGAGUGGCGAACGGGUGAGUAACACGUGAGUAACCUGCCCUUGACUUUGGGAUACUUCAGGAAACUGGGGCUAAUACCGGAUAGGAGCUCCUGCUGCAUGGUGGGGGUUGGAAAGUUUCGGCGGUUGGGGAUGGACUCGCGGCUUAUCAGCUUGUUGGUGGGGUAGUGGCUUACCAAGGCUUUGACGGGUAGCCGGCCUGAGAGGGUGACCGGCCACAUUGGGACUGAGAUACGGCCCAGACUCCUACGGGAGGCAGCAGUGGGGAAUAUUGCACAAUGGGCGGAAGCCUGAUGCAGCAACGCCGCGUGCGGGAUGACGGCCUUCGGGUUGUAAACCGCUUUCGCCUGUGACGAAGCGUGAGUGACGGUAAUGGGUAAAGAAGCACCGGCUAACUACGUG
rnacentral:rRNA from 1 species